CAUGAAGCUGGAAUCGCUAGUAAUCGCGGAUCAGAAUGCCGCGGUGAAUACGUUCCCGGGUCUUGUACACACCGCCCGUCACACCAUGGGAGUCGGAAAUGCCCGAAGCCGGUGACUCAACCUUUAAGGAGAGAGCCGUCGAAGGCAGGUCUGAUAACUGGGGUGAAGUCGUAACAAGGUAAC
rnacentral:rRNA from 1 species